rnacentral:lncRNA from 1 species
AGUGUCUGUAUGUUAACAUGAUUAUUUUCAAAGAGAAAUUGAAUUUAAUUUUUUGAAUUAAAUUUGUGGAAUGAAUGAUACAUAAGAAUCUGUGUAAUUCCUGAGAAAGAGAUUAGAGUCGAGUAUCUUUCUUAUCUUUUGUAGGAGACACUGCUAUUGAAAGUGGACAACAUUAUUGGGAGGUCAAGGCCCAGAAGGACUGUAAAUCCUAUAGUGUGGGAGUAGCAUACAAAACUUUGGGGAAAUUUGACCAAUUGGGAAAGACAAACACUAGUUGGUGUAUCCAUGUCAACAACUGGCUACAAAAUACUUUUGCAGCAAAACACAAUAAUAAAGUCAAAGCUUUGGAUGUUACUGUUCCAGAGAAAAUAGGUGUAUUUUGUGAUUUUGAUGGGGGUAAGUUUACUUACUUUUUCAUAAGUCAUUUCAUCAUAACUACUUAUGUUUCAGUACUUUUCAUUGGUAAUCACCUCUACAGAAUUUCUGUUAAUAUCAUGGUAAGGACAUUUUGGCCAACUAGGUUUUGAUCACAAACAUAAUCUCAGUACUAGAGUUAGACUGGAAGGGCAUAUUAUGUCUGCCUGGAGCUCUAUAAAAGCACUCAUUUAUAAUAUGCUAAGUCUGAAAUAUUUUGCUAAUUUUAGUCUUAAACACUAAAAUUUUUCUUGUUUUUAUUCCUUCCUUACUGUUCUAUUACCCGUGUAUAAACAAUGGUGAAGUCAGAUUUUUUGAGUUGGAAUAAACCUUGGAAAUUAUCCAGUCCAUCUUCCACACAAUAUAAAAUUUGUAUUACACUAUUUCUGCAGGAGUUGCCACUUCUUUGCUCAAAUAACUUUUUAGUCUGAACAUUAUUGUCUUAGAAGUCCUGUUUCUUGGGAGGGCUCUUGAUUAGGUUUUUCUAAAAUGAACUCACUUUACCUCUCUGUAAUUUGUAAAAAUGUUGUUUUUAAAUUCUGACACCUGAAUAAACACAGAAUUAUAUUUUGUAAUUCACACAAUAAUUCUUAUUUGUUAAAAUGCAUUAAAUUGAUUUCUUUUCAAAUCCUUAUAAUCUCCUAAAGUGAUAUACUAUGUCAAUGCAUUUCUUAAAACAUUGGUUUUACAAUGUUUCUUUCCAAGUUGUCACUUUAAGCUAAUAAUGGAAAAUUUUUAUCAUUUUAAGUCACAUUGGGUCCAGACAAUCCCAUGCUGUCAACUUAAUCACUCAAAAAAGGAAAAAAAAAUUAAUUUGGGCCAAUUUAUUUUUAGUGAUGACAUGUCAGUUUGGUACAUUCUUUUUUACUUAUUCCCUUUGAAUAAGAUGAACCAUUUUCUACAGAAUGACAAAUUUACUGGUGCACUUUAAAAAAUAUAUAUUUUCAGCUACCAGGACAAUAUUUGCUUAUCAUCCUUUCUCCUUUCCCAUAUGGUUAUUUUAUAUAGAUGAUAGGGAGAAGUAAUUUUAGCUAACAGCAUAGAGUACAAAGGGGGAAGCUGUAAUGUAGGAUGUAAUCAGAUUCUGAGAGCCUUGAAAAAAUGUUUAUAGACUAGUCUUUAGUAGUGGGGAGGGUUGGCUGUGUACAUUUUAGAAAAAUAUAGUCAUGUGAUGAUAAUCUUAUAUUAGAAAUAUUAGAAAGUAAGUGAUUAAAAGACGGAAGAGAUUACAAAAAUAAAGAGCAUAAGACGUUUUAGGAGUUAGUCUAAAGUAUAAGGCAUGACCAUGUUUAUUUUGUUAACUAUUAAAUUGUUAUUGCCUGCUAAGUGCUUUUAACACAGGAAGUCCUAAUAAGUAUUUGUUAAGUGAUUGGCAACAAAAACCCAAGCAGUUGGAAAUCAAGAAUGAAAUUGAUGGUGUAAAAUUUAUAGAACUUGGUAACUAAAUAUAGAUUGGGGGAAGAGACAAAGAAGAAUGGAAGGCAGCUCUGAGGUUCCAGCCAGUGUGACAAAGAGGAUGGCAGUGUCAGUGGGUUAAGGAACAGAGAGAGUCCAGUGGAAAACUGAGAUUAUAGCAGGACAACCAUGUGACAUAUUUAGCAAACAUUUAGAAAUUCUUGAACUCAGAAGUAGAGCUGAAACUAAAUAUUUGAAGCAGCAGCACAGAGUGACUACUGAAGAUUACACAGAAUAAUAUGCUUGAACAUUAUUGCACUGUUGUUACUAACUUUGCAAUCAUGUAGGUUGCUUCAUGUUUUGAGAUAAUCAUAUAUAUAAAGCACCAAGUACUUUAACAGUAUACAUAAAUGUUAGUUUCUUUUUCUUACUCUCUGGUAGCAACUGGUUUAUUAAGAGAGCAUUUCAUAAAUGCUCUCUUAACACAGACAAAGCAGCUUUAAAGCAGAAUAGGAGGAAAAGGAAGAGAGAGAAAGUAUCUUUAGGGUUAGGAUUCAAACCAAGAAUAUAGUCAUUAAAGAAAGGCUUCGCGAACUAACAGUCCUAUGGAGGUCAUCAGAUCAGAUUAGAUAGGAGGUCAGAUGGAGUUAUUUUAAGGCAUGAUCCUGUUGAAAGACAGACUGUGAGGGGAUUUGAAAAUUAACAAAGCUGAAGCAGUGAUGAAUAUACUAUGAUUUCAGAGACUGGAGUAUGAGUCUGGCCUUAAGUAGUUAGUAUUUUAAAUAUAGUAAGCCUUAAAUAAAUAGAGGAUUUGGGUAGAGUAAAAAUAAGGAGGAAGAAACUUCCUUGUUUUUUUACUGGGCUCAUGAAAAUUUUUGUUAAAUAAUGAUAAAUAGUUUAUAGCUGAAUAAGUACAACAGUGUCAGAUUAUGGUGAAACAGUAUGGAGAUCUUAAAAACAAGGGGAAGAAGAAGAAAAUUGGAUUUGGGCAUUUUCUUAAGCACGUUCACUGAUUUUUCUAGUGAAAGUAAGUUCAAUCCUUAGAGUUUGUAAUAAAAAAUUAAUGCAAAGAUGGGCCUUAAGUUAUUAUUUUUGCAUGACUACACAUUAGACUUUAUUAGAGUUAUAAUUUCUUGUAUAAUAAAUAAAAGGCUUUUUUUCCCUCUUCCUUUUAGGUCAACUUUCUUUUUAUGAUGCAAAUUCAAAACAGCUGCUGUAUUCUUUUAAGACAAAGUUUACUCAGCCAGUACUGCCUGGUUUCAUGGUUAGUACCUAAUUUAUAUUUUAUUUAGUUUGACAACUUUAAGAAGAAUAAUCUUUAUUAUUUGGGAAGCAAACAUCCUAUUUUUUUCUUCAUAGUCAUCUCCCUUUCUCCAUUCCACUCUCUGAAAUAUGCAAUUUUUUCUGUACAAUUUUGGUAUACUUUGUUGAAGUCAAUGUUGAUAAAUAAAGGUACACAAAUCAUAAGCAUGUAGUUUAGUGAACUGUUAUAGGACUGUAUUUGCUUUUGUAACUAGACCCUAGGAUAAGAAAGAGAACAUUACCAGAAUCUCAGAAGCCCCUGUGCCCAUUUCCAGUCCCUAAUGGCUCGUCUCCAAAGUGUAACCAGUACUGUAAAUUUAAAUACCUUAAGUUCAUUUACCACUUCUUUAUAUAUAAGUGGAAUUAUAUCUUUCUGACUCCAAAUUAUAUAUGUGAGGUUUAUCCAUGUACCAUGUUGUAAUUCCUUCAUUCUCACAGUUAUAUAGCUUUCCAUUAUAUGACUAUAUAAUAAUUUACCCAUUUUAAUUUAGUUGAAUAUGUGGAUGGUUUCCAUUUGGGACUGUAUGUGUAUAUAAUUUCAGAUCUACUCAGUUACAGACUUACUUAUAUAAGAAAAAUUCAUAUUUCAUACAAAUUGAAACAUGGAUUUGAAUUCCUUAUUUUUAAGCAAAUGUUGUUGUUCCUUCCAACACCUUAACAUUCUACAUUUCUCCAUAAAGUUAGGCUACUGUGGGAAAUUCCAAGAUCCAGUUAAGGUCACCAUUACUUUGGUGAGAACUUUCCUUGAUGUGGGGACUCCCUGUAUAAAUCAGAUGAUAUAAUUCAAGUACAGGUUCUGUGGAGUGUUUUAUGUGUGUAGUCUUUCAUUACCCCUAAAUAUAAUCCCCCAAUAUGAAGAGGAAGUAUUUAGGAUAUAUAUGGGUUGAAAACACAGUGCUUUAAAUCUCAUGACAAAUAGUAUUUUUUUAUUCUAGAUACCCUAAAAUAUUAAACUUAAUGCUAACAAAGACUCCUGGUUUUUCACUGAAAUCAGAAGUAAAUAGUGAAUAAAGUUAUUGCUCAUGGAAAAAUUAUUAGAAGAUAUUAGAUGGAUUGUUUCUCUCUUUUUUAUUUUUUUGUUGCCUUUUUUUUUUUUUUUUCACUUUACUACAAAUCUCCACUGUAUUGGAUAUUUUGGGCUGUUUUUCCAAAUUGGCCAAUUAGAGACAAAUUGUUUACCAUAUGGAACUCAGAAGAGAUUUUUUUUUCAAUUCGUAGAUGUACUUUUAUAAAAGAUAUUUCACUUGUAAUAUGAAUCUAUUUCAUGUAGAUAGGUACUGAGUUUAUUCAUUGUUAUUUUCAUUCCAUAUAAGGAGACUAAUUACACAUCUGCAUCAUAAGAUGCUUUACAAAAUUAUUUUAAACUUGUUUUUUUCUUCUUUUAAGUCUUUUGUUUAUUACGUAAAUGAGUAUUAAUAUUUUCAUAUAUGAUUAAUUUUUAAAGCCAGGUUUAUGAGCUAUAAUUUAUAGUAUUGUAUAAUUCUGUGGGUUUUGACAAAUGCAAAAACAAAACCACCAUCAUGAUCAAGAUAUAAAACAUUUCAGCACUAUAGAAAAUUUCUUUAUAUUCCUUUGUAGUGGACGCCUCCCAUUACACCCAGCCCUAGUAAUACGUAAACCAUUUUUAGUCCCUGUAGUUUUGCUGUUUCCACAAAGUCAUGUAAAUGGAAUUGUAAGGUAUAUAAUCUUUUGUUUAUGUAGCAUAAUGCAUUUGAAACUCAUCCAUGUUGUUGUGUUUGUUAGCUUUUUUUUUUUUUACUGCUAAGCGGGUUUUCAUAUAUGUAUACACCACAGUUUAUUCAUUCAUUCACCAGUGGAAGGACAUUUAAGUUUUUUCCAGUUUGGGGCAAUUAUGAAUAAACGUGCAGUAAACAUUCACGUGAGGUUUUUGUGUGAACAUACAGUUUCAUUUCUCUUGGGCACAUAUCUAAUAUAUGGUAGGGUUCCUGAAUUACAUUGUAAAUGUAUGUUUAUAGAUGCAAAAAUUAUUAACAAAAUAUUGGUAAAUCACAUAGAAAAACACAUUUAAUAGAUAUUGCACCAUGAUCAAGUGGUUUUCAUCCCAGGUGUGCAAGGUUGGUUCAACAUAUGCAAAUCAAUAAAUGUAAUUCAUCACAUUAAGUAGAAUUAAGGACAAGAAUCGCAUGGUUAUCUCAAUAGAUGAAGAAAAUGUAUUUGACAAAGUCACACCCAUUCCUGUUCAAAACACUAGAGAAGCUAAGGAUAGAAGGAACUUAUCUCAACAUUGUAAUAGCUAUAUAUGACAAACCCAAGGCCAGCAUUACACUGAAUGAAGAAAAACUGAAAGCAUUUUCACUGAAAACAGGAACAAGACAAAGAUGCCCACUCUCACCACUCCUAUUCAACAUAGUUCUUGAAACUAUAGCCAGAGAAAUCAGGCAAGAGAAGGAAAUUAAAGGAAUACUAAUAGAAAAAAAAAAAAAAAAAAAGCUCAAAUUACCCCUGUUUACUUAUGACAUGAUCCUCUACUUUUUAGACCCAAAAAACUCUACCAGAAGAUUUCUAGAGCUGAUAAACACAUUUAGUAAAGUAGCAGGAUACAUAAAUCAAUCACUUUCUUAUGCUCUAAUAACGAAUCUGCUGAAAAAGAAAUUAGGAAAACUGCUCUCAUUCACAAUAACCUUUAAAAAAAAAAGUAAAAUAAAAUACUUGGGAAUUAACCUAAUGAAGGAUGUGAAGGACGUCUACAUUGAAAACUAGAACACUGAAGAAAGAAAUUUAAGAAGACUUAGAGGAUGGAAAGGCCUCCCAUGUUCUUAGAUAUGCAGAAUUAAUAUUGUCAAAAUGGCCAUACUACCAAAAGUAUUUGAUGCAAUCUCCAUCAAAAUGACAUUUUGCACAGAACUAGAAAAAGCAGUUCUAAAAUUCAUUUGGAAAAAUAAGAAACCCAGAAUAGCUAAAGUAAUCCUGAGCAAAAAAGAGUUAUGAUGGAGGUACUGCAGGCAUCAUGAUACUGGACAUCAAAUUAUACUACAGAGCUAUAUUAACAGAAACAGCAUGGUACUGGCACCAAAACAGACAUGAAGACCAAUGGAAAUGAAUAGAAAAACAGAGACAAACCCACAUAAAUACAGUUAUCUGAUGGUAGACAAAGAUGCCAAAAACAUGUUGGAGAUAAUACACACUUUUUAAUAAAUAGUGCUGGGAAAACUGGAAAUCCACAUGUAGAAGAAUGAAACUUGACCCCUCUCACCCCACACAAAUCAACUCAAAGUGGAUCAAAGACCUAGGAAUUAGACCAAAAAUUCUGCAACUACUAGAAGAAAAUGUAGGCCCAAUGCUUGAACAUGUUGGCACAGGAACCAGCUUCCUUCAUGAGACUCCUAAGGUCCAAUAAAUAAUACCAAAGAUCAAUAAGUGAGAUGGCAUCAAAUUAAAAAGCUUUUGGCUGGGAGUGGUGACACAUGCCUGUAAUCCCAGCAACUAGGGAGACAGGAGGAUUGUGAGUUCAAAGCCAGCCUUAGCAGAAGUGAGACACUAAGCAACUCAGUGAGACUCUGUCUCUAAAUAAAAACAAAAUUGGGCUGGGGAUGUGGCUCAGUGGUUGAAUGCCCCUGAGUUCAAUCCCUGGUAUAGAAAAAAGAAAAAAAAAAUUGCAUGGCAAAAGAAACAAGAGUAUGGAGAGGGCCUUGAGAAUGGGAGAAGAUCUUUGCCACGUGCUCCUCAGGUAGGACGCUAGAAUAUAUAUAAAGAACUUAGAAAACAACAUUAGGAAAAACAACACAAUAAAUUGCCGCAGUCUGGCUGGGCACAAAUGCCGCAGUCUGGCUGGGCACACAAUCACGAGCCACCACACAGCUUGUAGAUUCAAACAGCAACUCUUUAUUCCGGAACUCACACCAGCCGUCUACAAUCACGUUCUGGGGAAAUCCACGUUCUCUGCCCAAAUCCACGUCCACUGGGCUUCUAUCUCCAAAAUAUAUUGUCUGAAUCCCGUGAGAACUCAAGGGGAACUCAGGCAGCAGGAUACGCCCUAUUCCCAGCAGGAAUAAUCUUAAACCUUAAACCUGGAACCUAAACUGGGAACGCCCUAAACACGAUUAUCUUAAAACCGGGAACACCCUAAUCUGCCUUGGUCCUUGAGCAAGGUCACGUACAUUCAAUGUCACUGCAACAUGUCAGCAACAUGGGGUACGCUGGCAAGGAAAUUGUCAUACCUAUUUGGCUAAUGGCUCCCAGCAAUAAAUAGGCAAAAGAACUAAAUGGACACUUCUCAGAAGAAAUACAAAUGGUCAUAAAUAUAAGAAAAAAUGUUCAGCAUCUCUAGAAAUAGGGCAAUGCAAAUCAAAACUACAUUGGUAUUUCCUAAUGGCAGUUAAUAAUAAAUGUUGGUGAGGAUGUGGAGGGGAAAGUAUACUCUCAUUGUUGGUGUGAUUCCAAAUUAUUGCAACCACUCUCACUUCUCAGUACGUAUCCAAAAGAUGUAAGAUCAGCAUAUUAUAGGAAUGUAGCCACAUCAAUGUUUAUAGCAGCACAAUUCCAACAGCCAAGUUAUUAAGCCAACUGAGGUUCCCCUUCCAACAAAUGAAUGGAUAAAGAAAAAUAUAUAUAUAUAUAUAUACACACACACACACAAUGGAGCAUUACUAAGCCACAAAAAAGAAUGAAAUUAUGACAUUUGCUGGUAAAUGUAUGGAACUGGAGACUAUAAUGCUAAGUGAAAUAAGCCAGUCCCUCAAAGUCAAAGGUAAAAUGUUUUCUCUCAUAUUCAGAAGCCAGUCCAGAAUAAGGGAGGAAGGGAGUGGGGGAGAGAAAAGGUGAGGGAAUUCCAUCAGAAUUGAAGAAAGAUUAGUGGACUAUAUUAAGGGGAUUGAGGGGCAGGGAAGAGGGACAGGCUAAGGGAAUAACAGUGGAAUGAAUCUGAUCUAACUUUCCUAUGUACAUAUAUGAAUAUACAGUCUCACCAUCAUGCAUAUCCAUGACAUUAAUAAAAAAAAAACUAAUAGAUCAGGAGAAUAGAGGGAAGGAACAUGGGGAGGAAAGAGAAGGAGGAAAGGGCAAGUACUGAGGACUAAAUUAGAGCAAAUUAUGUUCUUUUAUAAUUAUUUCAAAAUGAAUCUUAAUAUUACAUAUAAUAAAAAGAACCAAUAAAAAUUCUUUUUCCUUAAAAGCUUUGUAAAAAGCUACCAAAAUGUUUGCCACGGUGGCUGUACCAUUUUUGCAUUACAACAGCCAUGUUUAAGUUUUUCAUAUCCUUGUAUCAUUUGGUAUUGUCAAAUUUUUCUUACUGUCCACAAGCCAUUUUCUUACUGUCCAUAAGCCAUAUAUAGUGGGUUUUUUAUCCUGUUGUUAUUUGCAUUUUCCUACUGACAAAUUAUGUUGAGCAUAUCUUUUCAUGCACUUAUUUUCCACUUGCAUAAUUUCUCUGGUGAAGUAUGUGUUACAAUUCUCUACUCACUUUUCUUGGGAUAUUAAUUUGUUUUCUUAUUGUUUUAAGAGUUCUUUAUAAAUUUUGGGUAUAAAUGCAAAAAUUUUUGCAGAUGUUACCUCCCAGUUCAUAGCUUGACUUUUCAUUUUAUAGACAUUUCCAAAGUGAAGUUUUUUAUUUUCAGAUGAAGUCCAAUUUAUCCAUUUUUUUCCCAUUUGUGGAUAAUGCUUUGCUUAUACGUACCUAUACAUAUGCAUGGCAUACAGGUCACAAAGAUUUUCUCUUGUAUUUCUUCCUAAAGUUUUACAGUUUUAGGUUCUCUUUUUAGGUCUAUGAUCCAUUUUUAGUUAGCUUUUGUAUAGUAUAGUUGGAGUUUCAUGUUCUCUGUAUAUUGAUAUCCAGUUCUUCUAGUACCAUUUGUUGAAAAAGAUUUUAACUUUCUCAUUAUCACCUUUGUGCUAUUUUGAUUAAAUAUUUUUCUAAGUCAAUUAAAUAACUUUUAAAAGGUAACCUAUAAAUUUUAUAAUUUGAGGAUUGAUUUGUGUUUUGGGAGUUUAUCAUUACUGAGCCUGCUAGUUUUAAAAAUUUAGAAUGUUAAUUGUAUUAGUUAUAAAUUUUACAGAGCAGUAGAUUCUUUGGUUAAAUACGCUGUGUAGUAAAUACUGAAUGAUACAGGAUAUAAUUGAGAGUGAAUAUACAUAAAGAACUUGAAUUUUCCUUGCACAAACUAAUGAUAAUUUAGAUGGUCCAUAUGUUCAUAUUUUAAGCAUCUUGACUUUUUCAAAUCUUUUUUACUUUAUCAAAUCAGUAUUUUUUCACAUGCAAAGCAGUUAUAUCUUUCAUAAAUUCAUUCAUAUUUUUCAUAAUUAAUAGAACAUGGCAAGUACAUAUGGAUGUUGUCAUUUGCAGUUUUCUUAGAAGUCCUUCUCAAAAAAUUAUUCAAGUUCUUAUUGUUAAAAACACAGGGAAGAAAUCAAAUGGUUUUUAUUCUGUUAACACAGGGUUGUUAGAUUCCUAUGGUAACAUCAAAACCAAAAGCAAUGAUUGGAAUAGGGAAGUUGAUUCUUUGUACACUUUCCUUGGUUGUGAAGGUUAACAUCAGUAAUGAUAGCCAGUUUCUUUUGCACAGAUUGAUCCAGUUCAGUUUCUCAAUUUCUGCAGCCCUGAGUUUCCACUCUUGGGUUCAGCUUUGUUGGCUUCAGCUACCACAAAGACUUCCUUUUGGCCUUUGCAGCUUUAAAAGAAUACUGAGCCUCUCUACUUCCCCUCAGCUCAAAUAUGAAGGUUAUCAAUUUGGGAUCUGUCAAUUUUCAUAUGCAUGGCAUUUGCCUUUCAAAUAGAAAUUUAAGAAUCAUUUAAUUUCUUAAAAAAAAAAGAAUCAUUGAAUUUCUGAUUUGAGUUGAAAUCUGACUUGAGAUUUGUUUUUGUCUUUUCUUAGGUUUGGUGUGGUGGACUUUCUUUGAGUACUGGGAUGCAGGUUCCAAGUGCUGUGAGAACACUUCAGAAAAGUGAAAAUGGAAUGACUGGUUCAGCCAGCAGCCUGAACAAUGUUACUCAGUAACGCCUAUGCAGAAUGUUUACCCUCCCUCUUGACUGGGUGGCCUUUUCUGUGCAGUUACCUAUCACAGAAAUUUGUGAGUGGUGGAAAUCAGGUUUGCUAUGUUCUGCUUUAAGGCCUGGAAUCUCUUAGCUUAAGCAUCUAGUAUGAAGCAUUUACAGGAAUCUACUGUGCAAUAUCAUAGAAGCAAGCAGUUCUGGAGCAAGAAACUGAUGUUUUGAAGAGUAAAUAGGAAAGAAGGCAGUGUUUAAAUAUUUAUAUAGAAACUCGUUUUUGUGUUUCUUUAAUUACUUUUGUUCUUUUAAAAUGUUUAAUUACAUUUGGUAAUCCUAGGGCCUGAAGUGAAAGGCUUUAAAAAUUUGCUUUUCUUUCUUGACUUUCUUUUUUCCUAUCUCAUCACUACCUGUUAUUUAGUAUACACUAAAUCUUUAAAAUUACAUAGCCCCAGCCCCACCAAGGUUUUCUAAAAAUUGAAAUCAUUGAUUGGGGACAGUAGAAGUUUGUUUUUUUUUUUUUUUCUUACAAUGGUGUAUUUCCCCCUUUUAUAAAUAAGUUGAGUUUUGCUAAAUUAACCUAUUUACUGACUAGUUUUUAUCUCAUCUUCUACUUUCCAGAAUAUAUUGGUAUUUCUCUUGUAGUUAUAACUCCAAAUACAGAGUGAAUAUGAAGAAUUUAAAAAGCUUAAAAUCACCCAGAUUUCAGUUUUGUAUCUGCUAUAGUAACACAAUGGCAAAGGGUUUGCUCUGACUACUUUGCAUUCCAUCACUUUGAAUGUUCAGCAAGAUUUUUAAAAGCCUUAUGUUUUCUGGUAUUGUUGUCUACUUUAACCCUACCUUUAGUAGUUAUCUUUGAUAAAAUUCCCCACUCAUAUUUGGCACUGAUUGUAAUUAUACUCAUUUUUUUAAAAAAAUUAAUAGGAAUGAAAAAAUUUUUAACAUGGUUAAGGGUAGAAUACCAAAGGGAUGUACCUAAAAGUAUUCUUUAGUAAUUAUUUAUUCUUUUUAAUAAGAUGUAGGAAAGGUUGAAACAACUGGAAAAAAAUCUACAUAUCUCUGACUUAAUUGGUGUGUUUUUCAACCAACCAUUCAGAGGUUUUGGGGGUUUUUACCCCCUUAUCCUUUUUGCUAAAGUCAUAUGCUUUUUAAAGGGGUAUAAUUCUUCUAAAAAUCAACAUAGUCAUGUUUCCCAGCCUUGGGAGUGGUAUAUUUAAAUUUAAACAAUGAGUGGUAUUGAACAGAACAAAUCUAUUCUUAAAAAAUUGAUCAAAGUUUGUUACUCAAGUCCUUUGAGCUAAACUAAAAGUUAUAAUUACAGUAUUUAAGAUUUCCUUGAGCAUUUUAAAGAAAUUAAAAUUUAUAUUUUACUUAGUUUUUAAUUUCUUUUAUUCUUUCAUUCUCAUUUUAAAUAUCUUGUAAUAUGACAGCCUUCUUCUGUACCUUUGUUGCUUACAUUUGAGUUGUUUUCUAUAAAAAGACCUGCCCUCUUAAAAUUUACUGCUUACGAUAUGAUGUUUUGUUUCAUUGAUAAAAACAGAUGUAAAUGAGGACUUAUAUUUGACCUGGGGUAUUAUUUUCUUUUCUAGAGGACAGAUAUCCACACUAUUAUCUAAUAAUAGGUUGGUAAUUUUAAAGACUGUAAGGCAGUUAAGGGAAUAAAGUAUGUCAAUAGAUAGUCUUGAGUCUCCAAGUAUAAUUUUGGUUUUUGUUUGUUGUAUUUGGAAAGAAAUUUUUGGAAAGUUCUAUUCCCUAUAGAAGGGCUAUUCUAAGACCCAAGGAAACAGGAAUUUAUUUCCUUUCACACUCCAAAGCAGUAAUUUAGUGGAGUGGCUUUGUGUGAAAAGCUGUACACAGUAUAUUUUAGCAAAUACAAAACAAAAAAACCCAGAUGUUCUUGUAUAGAAUUUUUUUUACUAUUAUGUAUUAUAUAAUUGUCUUCUCAUUAAUUCAGUGCCUUUUUCCUCUAAGCAUGCUCUUUCUUCAUGCCUCAUGCAGUGUCAACUGAUAUUUAAGCCAGACAUAUUACAGUUGUGAGAGCCUUCUGUUGCAAGGGCAUGGGAAAAAUGAAAUAUUAAUUGGGCUGAAAGAGUGCAUACAAUUCUUUUUUGUGUUCUGCCAUCAUUUGGAAUUUGCAUAUAAAUUUUCUAACACUCAUUUGCAAAAUGUUCUAAUUUCAUUGGGAAUUAAUUACUAGCAGCUUUGUAGUAAUAAAUUCAGUAAAUCUGGAGUCCAAGCUCACAUCACAUGUAAUACUUGAUAUUAAAUUAUACCAUCAUUACAUCAAAAUUAGAAUCUGAAGGCUCCCUCUCUGCUGCUGCUUCAGGGUCUCUAAAUUAAGAGCAAAAUGUGAAGUGUUUUAGUUUAACAAUUUUAAGUUGGAUGAAAAAGUCUGUCAUCCUCAUUUUUAAACUAAAAAAUAAUUGAAUAUAGUGCCUAUUUAAAUAAUCUCAAAUAAGGUAACUAUUAACUUGAUAAUAUUUAACAUUUUCAUUGAUGUUUUGAGUUAUAAUGAGCUCUCUUGCUCAAUUCAUUAUGGAAAGUUGCUAAACACUUUUAAAUAUCCUUUAUUGCUUUAUUUACCUUUUGUUUUGACAGGUCAAACAUGACUGCUUUCUAUAAAAGAAAUGCAUGAGAAGUUGACUAUCGUAGGUGCAAAAAUUAUGUUUUAUAAAAAUAUGCAUUAGUAUUGCAUUUCCCUCUUACCAGUUGAAUUCCAAGCCAGUUGUAUUAAACUGGAUAUAGAAAUGAAGGAGCUGCCUUAAGCACUUUAGAAAAGGAAAUUUUCUACAAUUCAUUUUGACACUUGCAGCUUACCAUGUCACAUACAUCUUUAACUUUGGUAAAUAUGUAUAUACCAAGCAUUUAAUAAUAAUGCACAUAGAAAUUUAAUAUACAGUAAUUAUUUGAAUGUUCCAGGUAUAGGUGAAUAAAUUUACAGUAUUAGGGGCAUAUCUUGUCUGUACAUGGGUUUAAUUAUUGGCAUCUGUACCAUUUGACAAACCAUUAACUACUGCUAUACAGCUUACCUUGUUCUGCAAAUAGUAACCAUUCCCUGUGUUAUAUAAAGUGACAUAUUAACUUGCAUUUAUUUUCUCAUUUAUGAAAUUAAAGCAUGAAUAAUAUCAUGUAUAAUUUGAACUGUGAUCCUUGGUGGUAUAAAUAAUAAAAGUAAAUAUUUGUGAUAAAAUCUUUUAAUUAGGCUAAGAUAUUGUUUCAUGACUUACUUAGAAUAAUUAGGUUUUUUUAUGUUUCCAUAAAAUUUUUGUUAUUUGUAUAUUAUUAUUUCUUUUAAAAACAAUUUUGGAAAAGGAUAUAUGUUAAAAAUGAUUAUUCCUCAAAGAGUUUUAAAAGAAAGUAUAACAUCUUAUUAUGAAAUAUGUGAUUCUGGGGUUUAAAAAUUUGGCAAUUUUCAAAUCAUCAUAAUUUCUUAAAGAAUGUAUUUAUUAGAUCUGUGUUCAUUGAUAGGCUAAUUCAUAAAACAAAUAUUUGAGUGUCUGUGAUAUGGCAGUGAAAAUUUUAUUACUUUGCAUUCACAUUUUCAAAACUAGUGUAUUCAAUUUAUUGUGCAGCUAGUUUUGCUUCUUUUUAGUAUGCUGAGACUGCAUUUUAAAAAUAAUGUUUUGUUAAAAAGUCAGAAGUGUUAAAAAGUAAAUUUGUUAGUUUUUAAAAAGCUCAAAUUAACUGCGUAUAAUAUGGUUCACUUUUAUGUAAUCACAUAACAUAGGUUCAGCAAAGCUUAUUUCUUGAGUUUAUUUUUACUAGAUAUAGUCUUUCAGAGAAGUGUAUGGUCACUCUGUAUACAGGUAACCAUAAAAUUAUUUGUUAUUUUUAACCAAAACGUACAUUUCAUAAUGCCAGCACUGGAGUAUUAUAAAGAUCAUGUUUUCUUAGCCAUCAUAGCAAGAUUACCUCAUGUUCAUAGUAGUUUUAGUGGGUUUUUUUUUUUACAGUAUUUACAUUUCUGCAAUUAUGUGUGAUUUUUAAUGUCACAUAUGAUAGCACUGUUACCUGGAAUAUAUGAUUAACCUACAUAAACAUUUUUAAUUGGUUUUGGACAUGUCAUAUAAAGGUUAGUACUGGCUUAAUAAACAGAUACCAGAAAUUGCCACCGUACUUUUCUCCUUGGACUACCCAAUUAUUAAGCUAAAAGUAUUUGUUAUUUUGGGGUCAGUAUAGGGUACUGACUUUUGAUUCAUAAUCUUUUAAGUUAUAUUUGUUUAAGGUGAUAUGUUUUCUUAAUAAUACCCAGUCAAUAUAUGUUAGUCCUUAGGAAUGGAUGUAUAGAGGAUUUCACAGUAAUGUAGGGCAGAAGGUAGGUGAACGUGUUUGCUUUGGCUUGGCACUUAUUAAGUUUGGACUAAUUUAAAAUAAGUCAAAUUGUAAGUGAUUGGCAAAAGCCAUUUUAUUAAUAUUGGAACUUUUUGGAGAGCACAGAACAAUGAGAAUCCAUCUUUUAAAAACAUAUAUAAAACAUUUCUGAUAUCUCUAAGGUACCAAAGCACUGAGUCUAAUUCACCUAAUCUAAGGGAGACUCUUUAAAAUCAAAUUUAUAACUAAUUCAUACUAUAAGAUACAUAAUAGCUAAAGUUUUAGAGUAAUAUAAUUUAUAUUAAAAACCACUAGUCUUUAAAAUACCUAUAUGUGAUAUUAAGAUGAUUUUGGCAUCUUUUUCAAAAGUAUUCAAAAUUUAUCACCUUAGCUUUGUCAUAUACUAGGUCUGUGACAAUUGUGUAAAUCACUCAUCACCUUUGGGCCUCUGUUGCCUUACUUAACUCAUUAUGUCUCAAUUUCCCAAAUAUAAGACACCUAUAAAAACCUAUAAAAUUGCUCAAUUUAAGUUUUUAUAGGUGUCCUAUACAUAGGAGGAGACAGUGGGUUAAAAUAAUUGUAACUUGUUCAGCCUACCUCACAGGGCUGUUGUGAGGAAUAAAUGGAUGGAGUAUGUGAAAUUGCUUCAACAACAGCAAAGUGCUAUGUAAAUGUAAGCUGUUAUUUUUAGUUAAUGGAUUUAAGUGUUCGGAUACUUCUAAAUGCCAUUUACUUUGAUAAAGCAUGUUCUUAAAGUGGUAUCAUCAUUGAUUUUAAAUGUGAUUUUUAAAAUAAAACCUUUUAUCAAGAUGUCAUAUAAUAUUAAUUUAGUUUGUGCAUUACUUGUGGCCUUUUAAUAUUUUCUUAUCUAUUUUAAGACUUUUUAGAGUAGUAAAAGUUCUUCCAUGGCAUUAGUGUAUCAGUGUAGAAGUAUAGCAUAAAGAAACAGUUUUUAAGCAAGCUGCUACUUUUCCAUACAGGAAUUUGAACUUUCAGCUUAAGACUACUCAGUGCCAUGUGCAAAGAGUGAAUUUGGCCUGAAUAACUUUUUUUCCAAACAACUAAAUGGUUCAGGAGUUUGUGUGCUCAGUGAACAUUUGACAACAGUAUUGCAUUGUCCUUUUUAAAAAACAAGAUGCAUUUCAAAACCUUGUAGUAAACCUAAAUAUCAUUUAUUAUCUCACAUACUUAUUUUGCUUUAAAUUAGAUUUAUUAAUGGGGAUUUUUACAAGUUAUGUUAAUCUACAAAUUUCAUAUGUCUAUUAUCUGGACAUGGUUUCACUAUGCAGUAAUAAAAAUUCUAAUUCCUCAGGUUUAACCUUUAAGUUAUGGAUGAAGAACAUUAAUAAACCACAUAUAUGCUCAGUUCUGCAACACUGAGUUAAUGAACAUAUUGCCUCAUUUUCCUUAGAAACAACACAAAGCUUUAAAAUGGUUGUCUUUAAAAUAGAGUAUUUGAAGUGUAGUAACUUGUAUGUUUAAGUAAUAGUAUGUUGUGUAUAGAAUAUCCUAGUUAAGUUUUUACAAAAGCACUUGGAAUAUCUCAUCUAAAAAUUAAACAUUUUUCUCUUUCUUUUGCUUCAGUGCUUGA